UACGUAGGGUGCGAGCGUUGUCCGGAAUUAUUGGGCGUAAAGAGCUCGUAGGCGGUGUGUCGCGUCGGCCGUGAAAACCUGCAGCUUAACUGUGGGCUUGCGGUCGAUACGGGCAUCACUGGAGUUCGGCAGGGGGAGACUGGAAUUCCUGGUGUAGCGGUGAAAUGCGCAGAUAUCAGGAGGAACACCGGUGGCGAAGGCGGGUCUCUGGGCCGAUGACUG
rnacentral:rRNA from 1 species